rnacentral:rRNA from 1 species
GGCGAACGCUGGCGGCGUGCUUAACACAUGCAAGUCGAGCGAUGAAGUUCCUUCGGGAAUGGAUUAGCGGCGGACGGGUGAGUAACACGUGGGUAACCUGCCUCAUAGAGGGAAAUAGCCUUCCGAAAGGAAGAUUAAUACCGCAUAAGAUUGUAGUAUCGCAUGACAUAGCAAUUAAAGGAGUAAUCUGCUAUGAGAUGGACCCGCGUCGCAUUAGCUCGUUGGUGAGGUAACCGCCCACCAAGGCGACGAUGCGUAGCCGACCUAGGAGGGUGAUCGGCCACAUUGGUACUGAGACACGGCCCAGACUACUACGGGAGGCAGCAGUGGGGAAUAUUGCACAAUGGGGGAAACCCUGAUGCAGCAACGCCGCGUGAGUGAUGACGGUCUUCGGAUUGUAAAGCUCUGUCUUCAGGGACGAUAAUGACGGUACCUGAGGAGGAAGCCACGGCUAACUACGUGCCAGCAGCCGCGGUAA